rnacentral:rRNA from 1 species
GACGAACGCUGGCGGCGUGCCUAAUACAUGCAAGUUGAGCGAUGAAGAUUGGUGCUUGCACCAAUUUGAAGAGCAGCGAACGGGUGAGUAACGCGUGGGGAAUCUGCCUUUGAGCGGGGGACAACAUUUGGAAACGAAUGCUAAUACCGCAUAACAACUUUAAACAUAAGUUUUAAGUUUGAAAGAUGCAAUUGCAUCACUCAAAGAUGAUCCCGCGUUGUAUUAGCUAGUUGGUGAGGUAAAGGCUCACCAAGGCGAUGAUACUUAGCCGACCUGAGAGGGUGAUCGGCCACAUUGGGACUGAGACACGGCCCAAACUCCUACGGGAGGCAGCAGUAGGGAAUCUUCGGCAAUGGACGAAAGCCUGACCGAGCAACGCCGCGUGAGUGAAGAAGGUUUUCGGAUCGUAAAACUCUGUUGGUAGAGAAGAACGUUGGUGAGAGUGGAAAGCUCAUCAAGUGACGGUAACUACCCAGAAAGGGACGGCUAACUACGUG